rnacentral:rRNA from 1 species
CCUACGGGGGGCAGCAGUGAGGAAUAUUGGUCAAUGGACGAGAGUCUGAACCAGCCAAGUAGCGUGAAGGAUGACUGCCCUAUGGGUUGUAAACUUCUUUUAUAAAGGAAUAAAACGAGGCACGUGUGCCUCUUUGCAUGUACUUUAUGAAUAAGGAUCGGCUAACUCCGUGCCAGCAGCCGCGGUAAUACGGAGGAUCCGAGCGUUAUCCGGAUUUCUUGGGUUUAAAGGGAGCGUAGAUGGGUUGUUAAGUCAGUUGUGAAAGUUUGCGGCUCAACCGUAAAAUUGCAAUUGAUACUGGCAGUCUUGAGUACAGUUGAGGUAGGCGGAAUUCGUGGUGUAGCGGUGAAAUGCUUAGAUAUCACGAAGAACCCCGAUUGCGAAGGCAGCUUACUAAACUGUGACUGACAUUGAUGCUCGAAAGUGUGGGUAUCAAACAGGAUUAGAUACCCCUGUAGUC